rnacentral:lncRNA from 1 species
CCGGGUUAUUCCAUUCAAUUCUUGUUGCUCUGCACAAUUUGCCAUAAUAUCUAUUGAACAACAGAGAACUCAGUAUAGGCGUUGCCUUGUAAACAAGAAGAUAUAAGAAGAUGCUAGUGAAGACAUCUAUGUUGUCUUCUUGGCUUGAAGAACUAAUAUAGUCAUAUUCAUGAGAGGAAAUUGAUGCAGGCAAAGAACCAAAAGAUGAAAAACUAAAUGCCAUCAUAACCCUUUGUUGAAAUUUGCUACAUGUGAUAAAGCAAGAAUGCUACCUGCAGAUGAGGACAGAGAGCAAAAACGGGUCUUGAUUGAUUCUUGAUUAUUGUUGCUAUUGUAAGAAGUGAAAGAGAGAAAGGAGAAGAAAUGAAACAGAACAGAAUGAUGGAAUCAUA